GGGGAAUUUUCCGCAAUGGGCGAAAGCCUGACGGAGCAAUACCGCGUGAGGGAGGAAGGCUCUUGGGUUGUAAACCUCUUUUCUCAGGGAAUAAGAACUGAAGGUACCUGAGGAAUCAGCAUCGACUAACUCCGUGCCAGCAGCCGCGGUAAUACGGAGGAUGCAAGCGUUAUCCGGAAUGAUUGGGCGUAAAGCGUCCGCAGGUGGUUUAUCAAGUCUGCUGUCAAAGAGUUUGGCUCAACCAAAUAAAGGCAGUGGAAACUGACAGACUGGAGUGCGGUAAGGGCAGAGGGAAUUCCUGGUGUAGCGGUGAAAUGCGUAGAGAUCAGGAAGAACACCGGUGGCGAAAGCGCUCUGCUGGGCCGUAACUGACACUGAGGGACGAAAGCUAGGGGAGCGAAUGGGAUUAGAUACCCCAGUAGUCA
rnacentral:rRNA from 1 species